AAAGCAUCGCAGCUGUUGAAAUACAAGCCAGCCUCCUUACUUCCAGGACGGUUUGAGCCGUCAGGUCUGCUGAUGACGAGACAAAGAACUCAAGUUGAAGCUUUGAGAAAUACGGCUGCUUCUGAUACACCCCGGGAGGCUUCAGGAGUUUCAAGCUCCUACAACUUACGUGCUGCAACAACAGGAUCCAAGCUGCCUAAUUCUGCCUUGCGGAAAACACAUAUGGGCGGCAUACAGUCAGGCAUCCAGAGAUCUGCACCAGG